CCUACGGGUGACAGCAGUGAGGAAUAUUGGUCAAUGGGCGAGAGCCUGAACCAGCCAAGUAGCGUGAGGGAUGACUGCCCUAUGGGUUGUAAACUUCUUUUGUAUGGGGGGAAUAUGUUCUACGAGUAGAGUGUUGACAGUACCAUACGAAUAAGCAUCGGCUAACUCCGUGCCAGCAGCCGCGGUAAUACGGAGGAUGCGAGCGUUAUCCGGAUUUAUUGGGUUUAAAGGGGGCGUAGGCGGCAUUAUAAGUUAGUGGUAAAAUAUUGGGGCUUAACCUAACUACGCCAUUUAUACUGUAAGGCUAGAGAACAGACGAGGUAGGCGGAAUAAGUUAAGUAGCGGUGAAAUGCAUAGAUAUAACGUAGAACACCGAUAGCGAAGGCAGCUUACCGGACUGAGUCUGACGCUGAUGCUCGAGAGUAUGGGUAGCAAACAGGAUUAGAUACCCUUGUAGUC
rnacentral:rRNA from 1 species